UACAGUGGACACACCGAAGCGGUGCGCUAGUAGUACUGACAUCCUGGGCCUCUUGGGUCCCGGCAGCAGCCUGGCUACAGCAGCGGUGGAGCCCAGGCUAGGAAGGAACACAGGUGACAGAACAGAAGGUUGCUGGUCCACAAAGAGCACUGGUUAAAGGAUGUGUCCUGGGCCAGGACCUGAACACAUGGCAUUAGUUUUCUGACGUUCUGCUAGCAAGCCUGGGAAUGACAGAGAUGCUCUCUGUGCCAUUCUGGAUGACAGAAGAUUUAUGCCUGAGUCACUUGUAGACAGCUGCUCAAAAGGCUGCAGGUCCUAGCAGAAAGCUACAGCUUCUAGCCAGAUAUCUACUUGGAUAUAGGGCUCGAAGUGUCUUUGAGUGACUGCAUGAAAGAAAAUCUGCAAGAGAAGCUGCCCGGGAAAGGGCAGACUCAUGACCAUCUUGUCUGUGGAGUGCUGCUUGCCUUUACGAUGGUUGGCUGUGUCCUUGAACCACAAACCAAACCAUUUCCAGAGGCUGGCAUUCUUCUCUGAGAUCUCCAGACAGAGCUGUGGCUGUGAUGACCAGGCCUGUUGCUUGGCGGUGCCAAGACGAAGGAAAGCUACCAGUUGUUGUCGUGCUGUACAGAUGCAGCAGGAGUCAGCCGUGAACACAGGUGAGACCUGGCCUGUGUUCAGGAGCCCAGCAAGAAACGUGCCUGAGCCUUGUGCAGGUGUGUGCCUUGGAGACAGCCACACAUCAGCCACCUGAGGUCCCCUUCCUGGCAUGGCAUGGGGUGCCCUCUAAAUUCAGGAGGCUCUAACAAGUUCCAGGCAGGAUGAGGAUUUAGAGUGGCAGGUGCAUUUUAGAAACAUAGGGUUCAAAUUACUGGUUUUUCCAAGCUCACUGCCUACUACAGACUGCCCUAAUAGGUAAAGUCUCCUCUGUCACUGCCCUCUGUAAGGACACAGAGCGUUGACCUGGCAGCAGCAAGCCUGGGUCACACAAGGAUCUGCCACUGUCACAGUGUCCCGAGCUCUCCCAGGCAGAGGAGCAGGGCUCCUCUGCCCAAGCAUGCACUGAGGUCAUGGAGCAAGGUGAGCCCAAAUGCCAUGCCAAGGGACAUUUCUAUUUCUAAGCGACUUGCUGUGGCAGCAGCUGUGUUACUUGCAAAGGAAGCUUUUUCGGAUUUUUACGGAUUUUUUUCCCUUUCUUUCUAGUUUAGUUAAAAUAAAGUAGUUGUGGAUGUAAGUGCACGGCUGGUUUCUGCAAAGAAAAAAAUACACAACAUUUACUGCAAGCAGGAGGCUGCUGCUCAGCUCUGCUACCUGGCACAGCCAGGGCUGACUUACUGCAGACCGGCACAUCCCCAUCCUCAGUCCUCAGCCUCGCAGUGGUGGAGCUGGCUAGGAUGCUCUGCGCCAACCCCAACUCCUCCAGCCACUGCCAAAGCCCUCGCAGGCCCUGCGUUGUCCUGGUAUCUCGGGGAGGUGGUCCUGCAGCUCCCGGCGAGCGUCCCCGCUGAGGCAGGCAUCACCUCGCCACCCGCCUUGGCCGCUGGGCGAUUCCUGGCAGAGGUGACUCACAGGCAGGGAACCCUGCGAGGGCCCUGGCACAUGCCUGCACUGAAACACUGCCUACAGCCUCCUGCCUCUGCCCAGCUCGCCCUUCCUGCCGCCUUUCCCCCGGGGUCCUAACUCCCGACUUUGUUGCUCUAUAAACAUAAUAACAAUAAUUAUUCUCUCAUUGGACACAUAGCCAUCUUCUUUGUUUGCAGGCUUAGAUAAAUAUCAUUCAAAUCAUGGAGUCUGAUUCAUGAGUCAGGCUGAUGGCAGCCCUCCAAAACCUCCUUGCCCAUGGAGAGUGUGUUUGUGUGAGAGAGAGAGAGAGUUUCACUGUAUGAAGAGUAAGAAACUGGAAGCCAAGUGAAUUAAAUACAAAGCAGAUAAUUAUGUGUAAUUCAUUUACUGACUAAUGAUUGCACCUGGUACAGAGGUUUAUGAAUUCAUUUCACUCUGCAUAUGUUCUCAAAAACAAUCCCUCUGCUACAAGAUAAAAACUAGGCUGACAAUUCUUAAUAGAACAGUGUUUACAUUAGUGUUAAUGUAAGGUUCUGUCUUUCUGGUUCAUUCUUCAUUUUUUCUCAUGAUGUUUCACUUUUCCUGGGUUCACCUGGUGUCUCUUUGACAGUGACAACUGAUCCGUGGUGGUAGAGGCUGGGUGUCACUGCAGAAUGAAGCCUUCACUCUGCUCCUGAAAGCUGUGCAGUGCAAUUACACACACUGCUUAUCUCCCAUCUGCUGCAGCCAAACCUUGCCACCAAGGCUGUGCCUUCGGCAGGGGAGUGGCAGGUCACGGCCCCCCCCUUCCCUCUCUACUGGGAUUGCCAACAACUUGCCGCUCUUUUUAUGGUGUCACCCAGUUGUCACUGCACCCUGAUGCCAUCAGCUCCUUCCAGCUGAAUGCCAGCAGACAGUGCCAACUUUCACCUGCUAACACCUGGGUUGAUUACAGGUUGAAGACCAAAAUACAAAGCCUUUAACAGGGUGAAAAAGCUUGUGCUAAUUCAGCGAAGCACAGCGGUGAUGUCUCAGUGUUGAUGUCACCCUGAAGACUGCAGCCUCUGUGACACGACACCACUCGUGCCGUGAGCAGGUCAAGUGUGGAGAUCUGAGCCAUGCUGGGCAAAGCCAUGGGUCCGAGGCCUUGCUGGGUGCUUGCGGCAACUACCCAAGGUGAUGCUGUUGCCAUGUGGUGGAAACAAAAGAGCUUUUCCAGUUGUGUUCCCAGUGCAAUCCUUGGGGGCACAGUAGAGCCCCUCUCCCUGCCCCUCAGUGUGCCACAGGCAGCUCACCUUGGUAAUUCCCCCCACCAUGCAAACAAAUCUAUACACUCAAUUACUUGUUCAGGUUCCCUGUGAUAGCUGUUGCUCAAACCAACAGGCAUUUGGCUGUUUCCUGCCAAGCGUAUCAGGAUCAUCAUAUACCUGGGAUCUAUUUAUUAAUCAGCUCAAGCACAAGGUGCACGAGAGCUAAAUGUAUGUUUGUGCAAGUGGGGGAGGGCUACAUCUGCAGACAUGGCUGAAUGCAGAUUUCUGUGGGAUGCCCCUUAAGACUGCCUUUGGAAAGGAACAAGCUUGGAAUGACAAAAGGGAAGGAGGAAGUUAUUUGGCAGUUUGAUUAGAGACUGUUUAAUAAAUCAUGAACUACUCAUACUGAAAGAAUAUGCUGAUUUCACUUAUAUGCACUUUCUAGUGUUAUUUGCCAUUGAGGUUUUACCAAAGUGCAGUGAAGCUGAGCUCGUGGCUGCCAAUAAAAUAGCUGUAGUGUCUGAUGUAACUCCCACUGCUGCAAGAACACACUUGGAGGUGUCUCCUUGGAGCUGUCACCAACAUUAGAGUGUGGUGACAGGAGAGAGUCACUGCCUCUUGCUGUCAGAGCGUCACUGAGCUCACUGCACACCCAGCAACUCCUCUGGCUGGUGCAGAGGCUGCACGCCCCGUCUCCAGAAGGGAGCUGGCCCUACAACUUGCAGCCUGCUUGGAAAAGUGGUGGAGGUGCUGCUUUCUCCAUCCGUGGCAGCCGCAGGUAAUGAAAACAUCAGCAAUUAAAAAAAAAGAAAAAAAGUAACUGUAUGCUCUGAUAUUUUUCAUUGGAGUGAUCUGUCAUUAGAAAAGCCAAAACCAGCUCAUCUUGUUCACGAGUAUUCCCAUUGACUAAAACAACAUUCAGCGUGUGCUUUAAUUUUGAACAUAUGCAAUCCUUUACCGAUGAAGAUCUGACAAGCCAGAACAGAUUGCAGUCUGUGAGAUACUUGCAAUAUGAUAGUAUUUUACCUGUAGGUGGAUCCUCAUUUUAGAUAGCGAGAUGAAGAGCCAAUGAGCCUGAUUCACUGCUGCGUUACUCCAGUUUUGCACUGGAAUAACACCACUGAAUCAUCAGCAAAGUUGAAAUAACAAAUGAUAAAAUGGGACCAUUGUAUUUAAGUUUGCAGCAUGUAUAUGGAAAUAACUAGCUCUUUCUUGCAGAAUGAUUAAACUGUAUGGAUAU